rnacentral:rRNA from 1 species
GAAUGCUGACAUAAGUAACGAUAAAGCGGGUGAAAAGCCCGCUCGCCGGAAGACCAAGGGUUCCUGUCCAACGUUAAUCGGGGCAGGGUGAGUCGACCCCUAAGGCGAGGCCGAAAGGCGUAGUCGAUGGGAAACGGGUUAAUAUUCCCGUACUUGGUGUUACUGCGAAGGGGGGACGGAGAAGGCUAUGUUGGCCGGGCGACGGUAGUCCCGGUUUAAGCGUGUAGGUGUGUGUUCCAGGCAAAUCCGGUUCACUUUAACACUGAGGCGUGAUGACGAGGCACCACGGUGCUGAAGCAACAAAUGCCCUGCUUCCAGGAAAAGCCUCUAAGCAUCAGGUAACAUCAAAUCGUACCCCAAACCGACACAGGUGGUCAGGUAGAGAAUACCAAGGCGCUUGAGAGAACUCGGGUGAAGGAACUAGGCAAAAUGGUGCCGUAACUUCGGGAGAAGGCACGCUGACACGUAGGUGAAGUGAUUUACUCAUGGAGCUGAAGUCAGUCGAAGAUACCAGCUGGCUGCAACUGUUUAUUAAAAACACAGCACUGUGCAAACACGAAAGUGGACGUAUACGGUGUGACGCCUGCCCGGUGCCGGAAGGUUAAUUGAUGGGGUCAGCGCAAGCGAAGCUCCUGAUCGAAGCCCCGGUAAACGGCGGCCGUAACUAUAACGGUCCUAAGGUAGCGAAAUUCCUUGUCGGGUAAGUUCCGACCUGCACGAAUGGCGUAAUGAUGGCCAGGCUGUCUCCACCCGAGACUCAGUGAAAUUGAACUCGCUGUGAAGAUGCAGUGUACCCGCGGCAAGACGGAAAGACCCCGUGAACCUUUACUAUAGCUUGACACUGAACAUUGAGCCUUGAUGUGUAGGAUAGGUGGGAGGCUUUGAAGCGUGGACGCCAGUCUGCGUGGAGCCGACCUUGAAAUACCACCCUUUAAUGUUUGAUGUUCUAACGUGGACCCGUAAUCCGGGUUGCGGACAGUGUCUGGUGGGUAGUUUGACUGGGGCGGUCUCCUCCUAAAGAGUAACGGAGGAGCACGAAGGUUGGCUAAUCCUGGUCGGACAUCAGGAGGUUAGUGCAAUGGCAUAAGCCAGCUUGACUGCGAGCGUGACGGCGCGAGCAGGUGCGAAAGCAGGUCAUAGUGAUCCGGUGGUUCUGAAUGGAAGGGCCAUCGCUCAACGGAUAAAAGGUACUCCGGGGAUAACAGGCUGAUACCGCCCAAGAGUUCAUAUCGACGGCGGUGUUUGGCACCUCGAUGUCGGCUCAUCACAUCCUGGGGCUGAAGUAGGUCCCAAGGGUAUGGCUGUUCGCCAUUUAAAGUGGUACGCGAGCUGGGUUUAGAACGUCGUGAGACAGUUCGGUCC